rnacentral:lncRNA from 1 species
GCGUGACUCAACUUGUAUAAAGUUGUUGCAUUAAUUUUCAGUCUAUGAACUCAUACAUUAGUGCUCAACAGAUUCAAUUCCUGUUUCAAGUAUUUUUCUGAAUUAAAAAAAAGUAACUACAUAGAAAUAAUAAACUAAGCUAACCAAAGCUAAACUACAAAUUCAAGUUGUCCAGCUUAUAAUUUUAAAGCCAUAUACAGUCUACGCUCCACUUUAACAAACCAAUGAUGUCCACAAGUACACAUUUCAUAACCCAGAUUAAUAGUCAGCAUUUAACUAACUAUAUUUAAAGUAAUUUCAACACAAAAAAAAAACUAAAUAACUACAUAUUAGACAAAAUCAAAUCAAAAUUGUUCCACAAAUUCCAGUGUGGCCAACGUGUUUUCCAUUUCAAUCAGUGAGAUUACAUAGAGUGUGUACCUGGAAAUAAGGAAACAAAUGGGGAAGAAGAAGGAUCAGCAGCAAGCAACAUAAAUAAUUGAACCACAACAGUAAUCAACAGAAUCCAACAGCAGAACCAGCUUAUAACCAAAAUCGAGCAAGAAAAUCAGUUGAAAAACUGUUCCUCUUUAUCAGCAAACCAUAACAACUUCAAAAAUUACCCUCAAACACCCAUUUCAAUUCAUUUUAACAUGUAGAAUCAGAAGAUCUUUCAGAAACUGAAAAUUUGGAGAAAAACACUGAAAAAUCAUUAACGUGACAGUAACUUCGGCAUUUUUUAUUUUUCAAGAGAUUUCUACUGUUUUUGGUUUUUUUUCAUUCAAAAGCUAGAUCUGAAAUUGAAAAUGAAAGGAAUAGUUCAAUGUAAGGUUUUUUAGGGCUGAAAAUUGAAGACCUCUUUCCACAAGGCACCUCAUGCCCUUUUAUAGGCAACAAAAGAGAUUAGAUCAGAUUUUUUUUAUUUAUUUUUAGUCCUUCUCUUAUUUUCAGUUUGGUCCCUCUAUUUUUGACUUGCUAAACAAGUAAAUACCUUGGAAUGCGAGCUUAUAUGCUUUCAGGUAUAGGCACCAUUCACCUGACUUUCUUGAAGUACUAGGAUUCUCCCCUAGUAUUCCAUUCUCUCCCCCUCUCGGCCUUGCUUUCAUUCCUGUCUCAUUUGAAAUAGCUCCUAAGGCAGGGAGUCUUCUCGAAGCUGUCUAAGUCUUGUAAGGCUCCUAUAUCUAUAUAUAGAGAGGUCAUGGUAUGGAGGGAGGAUUUCUACGCGCAACAUCGUGGUUGGGGCAUUCCUCCUUCUUUUAAAAGAAGACUAGAGGACGAAAGAAGAAGCUCUUACAUCGGAUAAAGCCUAAUUCCACUGUCCUUUGAAGAUUGGAAGAUAGUGAAGGCCGACUUCCUUUUUAAAGAUCACUCAACGAUGUGGCAAAUCCCCUUUUUUAAGUCUAUGAAUUGGAAGCAGGAAAGACUUAGGCAAAUCGCUCUAGGUUAAAAUAUAACCUCUAUUAUGCUGAAAUGCACACUAAAGUACCAUUCUAUACUACCCCUUCCCUACUUCGGAAUUACUAUUUCUCAAGAAACUACCAUUUUCCAUCCCUAAAAUACCCUUUUACUACUCUGAAAUUUACUGACUAAAUGAACUGAACCCAAUCCCUCACCCUAGUUAGGAAUUAACCAAAGUUAACUAAAAUCGGCUAUAUCCAAUAAAUCUAACCUAGAAAUAAACUAUUAACACUAACAAUGACUAAUACUUAACUGGAAUUAAUCCAAAACGAGUUCCAAAUUUAACUUCAAACAAACAUGGUAAAAUGAAAACCUAAUUACACUAAUGACUAAUUAGUAAUUGAUUAUUUAUCUAACAAAAUCCAUACAGUGAUUGAACAAAAGACGAAAAUAAAACAAACAUGAAAAUCAGAUCUUAACAAAACAAGGAAUCACAUUAAAGGAUUAAACAAGGAAUUAAACAACACUGAAAAUUAAAGAGGUAAACCAAACAAGGCACCAAAGAAUUACGAUUGCACAAUCCAAAGAGGUGAGCUUGACUAAAUUAAUGCUUAUUUGUCUAAAUUGAUUAAACAGAAAUAAAACGAAAGAACAAAGGGAGCAUGGAUUACACGAACAAAUAUCAAACCUGACGAGAACGAACAAAAGAAACCGAUAAAAACAAAAAAAUACUUACACAGACUUCUGCCCGGAAAACCCCAUCAGAAUCGAAAUCUGAUUAAUAUUAUUUGCUAUUUAACCCAAAAUAAGCAAAUAACAGUAACGGGAAGUCGAUUCGACUUUGAGAAAUAUUCGAACGUGUCGAAACUGACAAAACCCUAACUCCACAGUUUAAUGAGCUUCAGAGAGAUUUGAAGGGUUUCAACCAAGGAUUCGUGGCAACGAAGGUCAGGAGAUCAUUUGGUAUCGAUUGCAUGCAUUUUGGGGCAUAGGGGCCGAAAAAUCUUUGAAUCCAAAUUCGAGUCGUUACGGUUAUAUUUGAGGGAUGAGGCUAGGAGGGUUGGAUAGAGGAGACUCAGGCAAGGCUAUGGUGUAAAUUUGGGGUCAUUUGGUAUAACCGGCGACUUGGCCGGAAAAUCUUCUGAUGAAGAUUCGACGAGAUUGAGAGGGUUAUGAGGAAAUUCGAUGGUGGAUUUUGGAUGAGGAGAAGAAGGAGAAAUGAUGGUGUAAAACCGGAGGUAUUUGGUUGUCGGUAGCCGCCGCGGGCGAUUCCCGGCGGCAGCAGGUGGUGGAUCUAGGGUUAGCAGUGACAAGUCGAGAGAGAGAGAAGGGUUCUGAGAGGGGGGGUUAAUUUUUAGACACUGAACAUCCUAGGCAGUUCGAAGCCGUUGGAUU